AGGACGAACGCUGGCGGCGUGCCUAACACAUGCAAGUCGAACGAGGUCCAACCGGUAGCAAUACCGGUGAAGACCAAGUGGCGAACGGGUGAGUAGCACGUGAGCAACCUACCCCGAAGACCGGGACAACACCGGGAAAACCGGUGCUAAUACCGGAUAUCCCCACCGGGUCGCAUGGCUUGGUGAGGAAAUGGAUUCCGCUUCGGGAGGGGCUCGCGGCCUAUCAGCUAGUUGGUGAGGUAACGGCUCACCAAGGCUUCGACGGGUAGCUGGUCUGAGAGGACGAUCAGCCACACUGGGACUGAGACACGGCCCAGACUCCUACGGGAGGCAGCAGUGGGGAAUCUUGCACAAUGGGCGAAAGCCUGAUGCAGCAACGCCGCGUGAGGGACGAAGGCUUUCUGAGUUGUAAACCUCUUUCAGCAGGGACGAUGAUGACGGUACCUGCAGAAGACGCCCGGCCAACUACGUGCCAGCACGCCGC
rnacentral:rRNA from 1 species